rnacentral:rRNA from 1 species
GGGUCAGUAGGUUGGUCGUGCCACCGGUACGUACUGGUCUCACUGAUUCCUCCUUCCUGAAGAGCCGUAAUGCCAUUAAUUUGGUGUUGCGGGGAAACAGGACUGUUACUUUGAAAAAAUUAGAGUGUUUAAUGCAAGCUAACGCUUGAAUACAUUAGCAUGGAAUAAUGAAAUAGGACGAUCGAUCCUAUUUUGUUGGUUUCUAGGAUUGACGUA